GGGGCUGAUUCUGGAUUCGACGGGAUUUGCGAAACCCAAGGUGCAUGCCGAGGGGCGGUUGGCCUCGUAAAAAGCCGCAAAAAAAUAGUCGCAAACGACGAAACCUACGCUUUAGCAGCUUAAUAACCUGCUUAGAGCCCUCUCUCCCUAGCCUCCGCUCUUAGGACGGGGAUCAAGAGAGGUCAAACCCAAAAGAGAUCGCGCGGAUGCCCUGCCUGGGGUUGAAGCGUUAAAACGAAUCAGGCUAGUCUGGUAGUGGCGUGUCCGUCCGCAGGUGCCAGGCGAAUGUAAAGACUGACUAAGCAUGUAGUACCGAGGAUGUAGGAAUUUCGGACCGCGGUUCAACUCCCGCCAGCUCCACCA
rnacentral:tmRNA from 1 species